rnacentral:rRNA from 1 species
CCUACGGGAGGCAGCAGUGGGGAAUAUUGGGCAAUGGGCGCAAGCCUGACCCAGCGACGCCGCGUGAGGGAAGACAGCCUUCGGGUUGUAAACCUCUGUUGCAGGGGAAGAAGGAAGUGACGGUACCCUGCGAGGAAGCUCCGGCUAACUACGUGCCAGCAGCCGCGGUAAUACGUAGGGAGCGAGCGUUGUCCGGAAUUACUGGGCGUAAAGGGCGCGUAGGCGGCGCUUCAAGUCGUCUGUCAAAAGCCGAGGCUCAACCUCGGCGCGCAGACGAAACUGGAGAGCUUGAGAAGCAGAGAGGCAAACAGAAUUCCUGGUGUAGCGGUGAAAUGCGUAGAUAUCAGGAAGAAUACCAGUGGCGAAGGCGGUUUGCUGGCUGCAUACUGACGCUGAAGCGCG